GACGGAGGAUGCAAGUGUUAUCCGGAAUCACUGGGCGUAAAGCGCGUGUAGGCGGUUAUCCAAGUCGGGUGUGAAAGCCUUGAGCUCAACUCAAGAAAUGCACUCGGUACUGGGUGACUAGAGGACCGGAGAGGAUAGUGGAAUUCCCAGUGUAGUGGUGAAAUACGUAGAGAUUGGGAAGAACACCAGUGGCGAAGGCGGCUAUCUGGACGGUUUCUGACGCUAAGACGCGAAAGCGUGGGGAGCAAACAGG
rnacentral:rRNA from 1 species